rnacentral:lncRNA from 1 species
GGACCCGGCGGGCAGGGCGUCCGGGGCCCCAGAGAUCAGACAUGGUGCCAGGAUUGCCCUCGCGAAGGCCAGGAACCGGCAUGGAUGUGGGAGAAAGGUUUGGGAGAAGAAUAGCCACCAGGGGAGACUGAGACGGAGUGGCCGGGGAGACGGAGAAAAACCAGGAGACCACGGGGUGAAGAAACGCCCGGAGCCAGAGGGAUGAAUGUGGUCAAAGCUGCUAUUCAAGUGAGGCGGGGCUGAGCGAAGGCUUCCACGGAGGCAGCAGAGUCCCGGUUUUCACUCACGACCAGCUUUGCGAGGCUCUGCCUGAGAGAGGUGGCCCCGCGCACGUCAGCUGUGGACGAGGGGGACACGUGCUCCAGCAUGGCCAUCCCGCUCCACCUUCUGCAUUCAUCGCAGGGGACGAGGGCUCAGUGCAGGCUGCAGCUGUCCCGGCAUCUCCUGAGCUCUGCCCUCCCUCUGGAUCCCCACUCCCUCAGGGCGGAGGCGGACAGCAGGCUGAAGGGAGAACUUCAGUCAGUGGGAAACUUCAUGGAGCAACAGCUGGUAAGUUCGGGCUGGACUCUGGGGCUGGAACGGACCUGCCUUCUCAGGAACACCUCCCCUUCACACUCUCCAGGAGGAGAAUGCUUGAGUGGCUAAGUCUGCCACAUCUGAUGCAGAGGCAUUUCUGGGCAGGGUUUCAUGGCCAGUACUCAAGUUCUAAGUUACAUGCGUGUGUGUGUGCGCGUGCGUGUGUGUGUGUAUACACACAUUUAUCACAUAAGCUUCUAUAUCUAUCUAUCUAUAAUACACACACAGCUAUACACACAGACACAUAGUUGCCUCAGCUGACGAAUCCCAAGAACCAGCCUGUGGUCUAAUCAGAAUUGUCCAGAAGUAGAACUGAUUUCCCUUGAUACGUGUGAUACAACCCUCACGCUUUAUGCACAAAACAAUGUUUGUGUCCAUUUUCCUCAGAAAGAGGAGGUGGGUGCGAUGGGUCCUAGAGCUCCAAGUACUCCUUUCUAGUAUAAAUGAGUUGUGAGAAUAGUAAUUAGAUCACUAGGUAUAUAUGUCAUAUGAAUAAAGGAAUAUUUAGGCUAAUGAGCCAUCGGGUCAGACUGGAUCAGAGAGAAGGGCACGGGUGGCUGGACGGAAUGUUAAAAUGGAUGGUUGGCAGCUAGUUGGAUGGUUCAACUGGAUGGAGAAGUGGACGGUUAGAUGAUGACUAGAUUGAUGGAUGUGCGAAUUUAAGGUUAAUGCAUGGACAGGUUCCCUCUGUGCCCCCUCGUGCCCGCUGCACCUCAGAAACUGCUGGAAGCCGCUCUCACCCUCCUUAACCUCAGCAUCCCAGAGAAGUUUUCCCCCUCAGGCCAGAACAGGCCGGGGUGACUCUCGGGGCUGCUCCCUGUGCCUCUGGAGAGAGCUGUGUGGCAAUGGGCAGUGGAAACACCACUGGAGGGGAGGUCGUGGGUCACACGUGCCCUCUGGCUCAGCCCCUGACAUGGGAGCAGCCCUGGCAAGUCCCCCCGUAGGCUUGAAACCGUCUUUCUGUUUGUCACCGCUGCUUUCUUAGGUAUUGUUAGCCUCUUGUCUCCACAGGCUCCUCCUGGGGCCCCCGUCAACAUGCUCAGACCCUCUCGCCUUAAAAACGAAAGAACAGAAAGCCCCUUUGCCUCCACGCCCCUGCAGCUGCUGCAUGGCCCCUCGCCGGGGCACGGUGACCUUCCUCCGGAGAGCUGCUUGCACACGCCGUCUGUCUCCUCACCUCUCUGGUCCUCUCCACCCACCACACUCUGGCCUCUGGGCCGCUCACUCCACUCAAACGGGCUGCAGAGUCCCCAGUGACCCUCAGGACACUACAUCCUGAGUCCCCCUGUCCUCUUCCUAGCUUUCUGGCAGCUGCCGGCGCUUACGAACACUCCUGGCUUCUUGAAACACUCUUCUCCACUUCUUGCAUGACACAGCAUUCUUCUGGGGCUUUCUACAUCUCUGGCUGCUCCUCCAUCCGCUCCCACCAGGUCCAUCCUCUACCGGCCAGUCAGCAGUGGUGACCGUGAGGCUCAGGUCAGCUCUCUCCUCCUGUGACUCACAACUCUCACCUCGGGCAACUUGAUCCCUGUGUCAGGUUGGAUGACCGGCUCUAUUUUCUGCCCCCCAAAUGUGCAUCCCCAGCUCGGCCCUCUCUGUGCCUCCAAAUGUGCACUAGGACGCCUGAAAGGCACAGCAGCCUCUACAUGUCCACGGCCACGCUUACAAUCCUCUCCCCUCCCCACCGCAGCGCUGGUCAGCCUCGGUGCUCACGUCUCAGUGAGGGGCCCCGCCGGCCGUCCAGCUGUGCAACUUGGAGACCCGGGGGCCUGCACACCUCUCCCCCUCGGCCUCCAUGGCCAGACUAGCAGCAGUUUCUGUCAUCUCACUUCCUCAACAGCUUUGAACUCAGUACAGUUCUUCGCAUCAUCACUGUCCCAUCCUGACCCAAACCACGGUCAUUUUUCCCUGGACCACAAUGGCCUCUUAAGUGGUCUCCCCACAUCCCCUCUUGUGUUUUUCCAACCCAUUUUCCAUGUGGCAGCCACUCCGCACGUGGGUUCUGCCCCGCGGCUCAGAGAUGGGGAGACUACUCUCCUGGAGAGGGUGGGGCCUGCCUCGGGUCACAGUGGGGCCGGCGCCCAGGCGGCCCUGUUUCCAUGUAGGCUGGAGGACCGUUAGAGCUCAGCCAGGCCUCCUCGGAACGGAACGGAGAAGAGGCUCUGAAAUUUGCAGUAUCAGGUUUCAGAAAACACGGGGUCAGGGUCAGCAGAGCAGCUGGUGGUGGGGAAGGCCAGGCCCAGUUAAUUUCCUGUCAGAAUGGCCCGGAGGCCCCAGGCCCUCUCCGGGUUGGCCACAGGGGAGGAGAUGCCGGGAAUGGCUCACAUUCCUCUGGCUGGGGCUGCACUGAACCUCGGGGGACUUGCGGGGAGCGAGGAGGUGGAUCUGUUGAGGCCAGAGCUGGGGGCUCUCUGCAGGGACCAGGCAUCUGUUGUCCAGUCCUUAGGCUGGGAUGGGUCCAGGGACUGAGGAGCAGACGGAAAAAAACCACCAAAGCUGCUGGAGCUUUGGGAUAAAUGAGCUCAACCUCACAUUUCACAGAUGAGGAAACAGAGGCUCAGACAGGACCAGAUCUCACCGGGGUCACUCAAGUGUCCUCGUUCUCAGCCCUGAGCUCUCUGUUCUGGCCGGCCUAUGUUUCCUGGAAGGUCUAGCUUUGUUGAGCUGUGUGACAGUGGGGGACAAGCCUGGCUAGACCUGCACUCCUCUUGGAAGGGAGGCAGGAACCCUCGCUUCCAGACCGGGUCCAUGCUUCUCAGGUGGUCUAGCUCGGGUGUGCGUAGCUUAUGUGGAGAGUGCGAGAGCGCUGAGUCAGCUGUGGGCCUCGUCCUCUCCCUGGAAGGUCCCAGCUCAUUCCACCUACAGAGAGAACUUUAUGUCCUGGUCCAGGCCCCAAGAGGAUGACGCCAUGGAGGUGUGCUCCUGGCCUGGAAUGGCCCUCCAAGUGCCCCGGCCGGGCUGAAUGGGAGGCAGAGGUCAGGGGUACCCUGUACUCUCCAUUCUCUGGUGCCAAGACUGUCCUGGUUGAAGUAUGAUGCCUGGAGAGGGCGAGCCCAGGACGCAGUCCCACAAACCUGGGUUCAAACCAGGCUCCAUCAGACACUACUGUGUGACCUCAGACGGGUCAUUUAACCUCUGCAAAUCAUGGACUCCUCAGCUGCAAAGCGGGGAGGGACUUGAUUUCUUUCUCUCCAUCAAGUUGUUCGGUGGGUCUGUGACUUGGGCAGGGGGUCUCCUGUGUGACGCUGUGGGACAACCCCUCCCAGAGCCUGGAAGUGCUGCCCACGCCCUUUCCCCACCCGCGCCCGGGGAAGCAUGCGCCUGCUUAUGGACUCAGGGCAGGGGCCUCUGAUCUGCUGGCCAACCUUCCCCCACCCCCAGCACUGGACUCUGAGGCUGUGGCCAUUUUCAGGUGUCCCAGGCAUCAAGCCCACAGUCCUGACUGCCCCCCCUCUUGCCCCCCUCCCUUCCACCCCACCAGUUAGGCCCCAGUCCUACAGAGACCACCUCGGGCAUGUCUCUGAAGCUUCUGCGUCUAUCCAGCCCCAUUGCCUUCUUGUCUGAACAACCACAACAGCCCCUGGCCGCCCUCCCUGCUUCCAGCCCCCGUGCAUUCUUUCCCAGGGACAUCUUUCUAAACUUGUGUCACAACCUUGGCCUCCUCCACUCCACCUUUGCCCAGCUAGCUCCUUCUUGUCCUAAGACUCAGUGUACAUGUCUUUAACUCAGGGAAGUCUUCUCUGACUAGGAUCUCCUCCCACCUUCUUGCAGGCUGCCAGCUGUCCUCGCCUUGUCACAGUUCUGAUUACACCUUGCAGGUAUGGAUAAUGACUUAUUUUACUUGGGGUCCAAAGCAGCCAGAACGGGCAUCAGCACACAGCAAGCAUCAAUAACUGUAUGCUGAAUGAAUGAAUGAUGGACAGACAGCUGCAUGGAAAGAGGGACACACUGUAGUUUGGGGUGACCAGCCCUUCCAGACCAUAGUCGGUUCUAUCCUACUGUUGGCGGUUUCGGGGGAACGUGCCCAUGGUCAGGGCUCGUCCUGGCACCUCACAUACUGAGGUCCCGGGCAGAGAGCUGAGUUCCAGCUGCCUCCCCCUGGUGAGGAUCAAGUGAUGGGGCCACGGCAGGGACCCCCAGCCCCACCUGCUAAACUCAGUGGCUCCAGGAAAUGUGGAUACUGAUAGAGAGGGCACCCAAAAGAGGAGGAAUCCAGGCAAUGGGGCGCCUGUAUCUGAUAGUGUCUGCAUGGACGUGCCUGUGUUGCUAGGGUACAUGUGCAGGUGUCUGCCCUUGUCUGACGUCUCUGUCAGGACUGUGUGUGUGCACGUGUGAGUGCCCCCCUGAGCUCACACCCCCCGUGGCACUUCUGCCCUCUGCCUCCCUCCCGCCUCUCCUUCCGCCAUCCCCCAUCCGGUCCCUGCCCGGGGCUCCUAUGCCCUGCAUGCCUCUGUCAUUGCACGUACCACUGUAACUCAUCUGGAUGAUGCUGUAUUAGUUUCCUGUUGCUAUUGCAAAAAAUUACCACAAACUUAGUGGCUUAAAACAACACAAAUUUAUCGUCUUACAGUUCUGGAGGUCAGAAGUCCAAAAGGGGUCUCCCUGGGCUAAAGCCGGGCGUUGGCAGGGCUGUGUUCAUCUCUGGAGGCUCCAGGGGAAUCUGUUUUCUCGCCUUUCGCAGCUUCCAGGGCAGCCCACAUUCCUUGGCUCAUGACCCUCUUCCAUCUUCAAAGCCAGCAGCGGCUGGCCGAGUCCUUCUCAUAUCGCAUCCCUCCGACACUCGCUUCUGCCUCCCUCUUCCACUUCUAAGAACCCUUGUGAUGGCGCUGGGCCAUCCAGGGUAACCUCUUGAGGUCAGCUGAUUAGCAGCCUUAAUUCUCCUUUGCACGUCAGGCGGCAUGUUCACAGAUUCUGGGCAUCAGGACGUGGACAUCUUCAGGAGGCUGGGGUGGGGGACGUUAUUCUGUGCACCAUAGUCUGUCCUUCUUUUGGUUGCGAGCUCUCUGGGCCUGCGCUGUAUCUUACCCAGAGACUCCUCGGGAGCAGAACAGCGCCCAGCCUGGCCUAGGUGUUUAUCACAUGUUUGUUGAAUAAAUUUCAUUCAACCAACAAUGUAUUGAGAACCCAUUUUGUGCUGGGUACUUUCACAUCAUAACAAUUUUUAUUCUCAUUUUAUAGGUGAAGAAGAUGAGGCUCAGAGAAGUUAAGUACCACCCAAGGCCCCAAAGCUAGUAAGUCGCAAGCCAGAAGCUUCAGUGUACACUGACCUGAGGUAGAAAAUGCUGACAUCUUUGUUCCUUUGGGUCCAGAACUCCAAAAGAGAUAAGCCCCCAGACCUUUGGUGGUGGCGGUGCAAACGCGCCUCUCAGAUUUCAGACUGGUCCCCGCUACUGUGCCCGGAUCAUGGCCAUCACUGUUUGCACUGAGGCCCUCAGGCUGCUUCCAGCCAUUGACUCCGGCAGGUCCCCUCUUGGAGAUGCAAGACCCCCCCCGACAGACAAGUUGGCACAAGGAUUCCCCAAGGGCUUGCUACUUUCUUAGAUCUGAACCACAACCUGAGACUCUUCACCCCACCUUCUGUCCUGCCCUCUCUCCUCCGCAGGGUCCAAACUACGUCACAGUCUGACGUCCCUCCCAACUUCCCCCUGGCUCCCCGCCCAUCUUCCCUCACAGGUGUCCCCCAUAAAUCUCUUGCACAUAGAGUCCUGUCUUGGUGUCUGCUUCUUCAAGGACCAGAACGAAUGUAAGUAGUCUGAGGAAACAGUGGUAAGAUGGGGAUUUGGGGCUGUCCCACUCAGAGGCAAUGGGGAGGAAGAUGUUGUCCUGAUUGAUAGGAGGCCCCCAGAGAGUCCUUAGAACAAGGCAGCAGCUCAAAUGCUAAACAUUUCACCAGCGAGGACCUGGGAAAAUUUCCUGGAGGAGAGGAGUGCUGGCAGGUGUGAUAAUUCAAGCAUUUGAAAAAUAGAGGGGCAAAGAUGCCUUCAAAAAAUUGGCUGGUUACUGCAGAGGGAAGAAGGACUGCGGGCCACUAAUGAGCAGUGGAGGGGUAGGCGUGGAGGCCGAGAGCCCUGCGGUGGCUUACAAAGAGGCCCUUAUCUCUGGCAGUGGAGGGCAGAUACGGCUGAGUGGCGGGCUGAAGACAAACCGUUAGCGUUGCAGAGCGCCAGAUAAGUCUGAAGGCUCAGCCAAGGCGGUUAUGAGAAGAUCGGGCCCUGGUGGGGAAAAUCUGGACCCCUGACCCAUGAGAUAAAGACAUCUGGAUGGAUGCCCUGAGGCCGCCGCGCAGCCUCCCUGACCCUCUGAGCUUGCAGAGGUGGCCCGCCCUUCUGCAGAAGAGCUACCCCUCUGCAGUGCUGAAAGAUUCCCAAGAGGCCUCGCCCCGGCAGGGGCCCUCUCAGUGGCUGCCCCACUGCCUCUCCUGGGUGCCAGGGACAAGCAUUAGGGUUGAAUUCCAGAAUAAUCUGGCUGCAGACAUGCUGGGCCUGAUAAGGGAGGAAAGAGACUAUAUCAUGAAAGAAUGGUAACUCUCAUGGAUCCUGGAACAAACCAGGGAUGCUCCUGGGACUGGAUUUUGCGAAUGCCUGAUUAAGGAGGCUGGAAUGUAAGACUGGCUAACAAGAAUCCAUCGGCUGGAGGGCACUUUCUUGAGACGCAAGAUUUAAUAUCCUAGCGAGGAUACCAGGGGAUGGGGCAGACUCUGCUAGGGUGGCUCUUAGAAGUCUGGAAAAAGUAGUGGCUAACACUCAGUGCAGUGGAAAUACCUGAGUUCUCCUGGCAGAUGGUAGAGAAGAAGUUAAAAAAGCUGAGGAAAGUGGACACGUUGGAACGGAUUUGUUAUCUAAGGCCAGUAAUGACAGGCAAGGACAGAGGGGCAGGCAAGGGGGCUUGACCCACAGAAAGCUGUGGAGAUGGUGAAUGGAGCAGGGUAUCCCCAGGAGCAAACCAGAGGGGCAGCCAAGAAGCCUCUGCUUAAUAUCUACAGCCAGAAAAGCAGACAGGAGUGGGGGAGCAGAAGGCAGGGGCAAUAGGAGGUCACCGUCCCUUGCUCAGUUCCCAGACCUGAACCAAUUUUCAGAUAUGAAACCCGCUGACCGAAGAGGUGGCCAGAUCUCUAGGAAUAGGACCCUGCCAAACCUCAAGUAUGUAUCAUGAUGAUUCCUUCAGGAUUCUUCCAAAGGCCUGUGGCCAUUUGUUUGGGUGAUUGUUCACUAGAGAAAGGGGAAUAACAAGACAUUUGAGGACUAGUAGACACAGAGUUUGAGUUGACGUUAACACCUGGAGACUCAAAGCAUCAUCGUGGGCCCCUUUUCAGAGCCAGGCCAUGGUGGUCAGGCAGUAAGUGGAGUCCUGGCUAAAGUCUGGAUUGCAGUGGGCCUGCUGGGUCCACGAACCCACCCAGAAGCCCCUUGUCCCUGAGAGUGUCAUUAGAAUUCACAUGCUUUGACAGUUGGAGUAACCCCUACCUCAGUCCUGGUCUACUGGGUGGGAGCUAUUAGAGCCAAGAAGGCCAAGUAGAAACUUCUGAAACUGCCGUGCCCCUUCUCCUCGCCCUGCCCGAGAUAGUAAACCAAAAAUAACAUCUCAUCCUAGGGGCUGUGGUAGAAAUUAAUUCCACGACUAACAACUAAGGAUGAAGGAGUGUGGUCCCUACCAUUGAUUUCUUCAUUUAACUCACCAGUCUGACCUCUGCAGAAAUUGGACGGAUCCUGGAGGAAGACCGCAGACCGCCACGGCUUAACCAAGGGGGAGCCCUGCUCGCAGCUGCUGUGCCUGACGUGGAGUCCUUGCCGGAGCAGGUUCACGAGGCCUUAGGUAUGUGGCCAGCAGUAAUUCAGUGCCUGUGGUCUUUUCCAUUCCAAUUAGAAAAGAGGAUCAGAAACAGUUCACAUUCACAUGGGAUGGACAACAAUAUUCAUUUACACUUUUGCCUCGGGGCUAUGUUAACUGUCUCUCUGACUUAAUAUAAUCCCAAGAGAUCAGGACCAUGAUCCCACAGAACAUCACCCUGAUCCAUUGCAUCGCUGCGCCAUGCUGGUUAGACAGGAUGAGCAAGAGGUGUCCCUAUGCUGGAAGCCGCGGCUAAGUCACAUGCACUCCAGAGUGCGGCAUAUAAAACCUAUGACGAUUCAAAGACCUACCACUUCAAUGAAGUUUUGAAGGGGUUCAGUGGUCAGGGGGAUGCCAAGAUAUCCCCUCCCAAGUAAACGAAAUGGCUGCAUUUUGUAUUUCUUACCACAAGAAAGCACAAUGCCUGGUAACCCUCUUGGGGUUAGAGACAACCCAUUAUUCUGGGUGACAAGGAAGGCUGCCAGCUGUAGGUGGGCCCCAGGACGGGAAGAGGCUCUGCUGAAGGUUUAGGCUGCAGUGCAAGCAGUCCUGCCAUUUGGGUUAUGCUGUUUGGCAGACUCUCUGGUGCUGGAAUAGUCAAUAGUGGGAGAGGGAAAAGGUGUAGUUGGAGCUUAUGUCAAGUCCCAGUGGGAGAAGUGUAGAGCAGGACCCUGGGAUUCCAUGGCAAGGCCACACCAUCGGCAACAGAGGGCUGCAUGCCUUUUGAGAAACUGUUUCUGGCAUGUUACUGGGGUCUGGUAGAGACAGAACACUCGCCCAGGGCACACCAAGUGGGACAUCUGAAACUGCCCUCUGAGCUGGGUUCUGUUGGAUGCAUCAAGUCAUAAAGUCAGAUGGGGCUGACAGCAGUCCGUCAUAAGACAGAAAUGCUGCCUCUGGGACUGAGCCAGACUGAGGCAGAGGGCAUGAGUAAACUGCAUGAGGACAUAGCCAGAGCCCAUUCUCUGGCUUGUACUUAUGGUCGCAUGGAGGGUUCUGUACAACCAACUGAAAGAGGAGGAAAAAGCCUGAGCUUGGUUUAUGGAUGGGUCAAAGUGGCACAUGGGUACAAGCUGAAGAUGGACAGUGGCUGUAUGACAGGUGUAAGGGAAAGGGAAAAUAUUCUUCCUGGAUAGAGCUGUGAGCAGAGUGCUUGCUCACCUACCUUGUUGCACAAGAAAAAGUGGCCCAAGGUGGUGAGAAUAUAUACACCCUCUUGGGCAGUGGCCAAUGGUCUGGCCAUUUGUUCAGGGGCCUGGAAGGAAAAGGACUGGCAGAUUGGGGACAAGGAGGUGUGAGGUAGAGGCAUGUGGAUGGAUGCAGGAGAUAAAGCAUGAAGCGUGAGGGUUGCAGUACCACACACUAAUGCCCAUUAGAAAGCACUCGAAACAGAAGCAGCAGUGAAUAAGCAAGGAAAGAAAAUGUCUUGGACAGUUGACACAAGCCAGUCCUUGUCAUUGGCUACUCUGGAACUGGCAUGAUGGGCAUAUGAGUGGAAUGGCCACAGUGGCAGAGGCAGAAGCCACAGAGGGGCUAACAUGGGCCCAGCAGCACGGACUCCCUAGGAACUGCUGCCUCUGAAUGUCCAACCCAUCAGCAAAAGAGACCAGUGCUGAGCCCCUGCAGUGGCACUGUGUCUCAAGGAGCCCAACUCACCGCUUGAAGGCAAGUCAACUGCAUCAGGCUCCUUCCAUCCCGAAGCGUCAGCGGUUCACCCUCUUUGGGAAAGAGAUCUAUUAUGGGUUUGCCUUUCCUGACCACAGAGCCUCAGUCAGCACUGCUGUCCAGGGACUUACAGAACGCCUGAUCUGAAGGCAUGGAAUUCCACCCAGUACAGCAUUUGACCAGGGACACUGGAGGGUCCCACUGGACUAGACUAUGGCUGCCACCAGGGCACUUUGGAUUCCUUAUGUCCAGGGACCAGCCGGGGGACUUGACCCUGAUCAGCAGGAUUCAGGGCUGCUACUCCAUAAUGGGGACAGGAAGGAAUGUGUGCACCCAGGUGAUCCACUGAGCACUCCCAGAUGAUCCCCACUGUCAUCAUGAAAGGACAUGCGCAGCAACCCUGACCUGAGAAGGGUUUGAUUACCAAGCCUUGAGGUCCCCUUUCCCCCUUCCCCGGAAUGAAGGCUGGGGUCACACCACCAGGUGAGCCAUCAACCUCUGCCAAGGUUGCUGAGCGUGAGGAGGAUUCAGGAUGGAGGGUAGGGGAGGGAGAGGAUGAGACUAAAUACACCGACGGGGGUUGUAGUUAGUUCUACCAUCUCCCUUUCUCUCUUCUGAGUCUCCCUUAGGAACAGCCCAAGGGAAACAGGCAAGAGCUGCCCUCUGUAUCUGGUGGAGAAGCAGCACCGUGUGGCACAAGGGUGGACUGUGACAACCAUGAAGACUUCUCUCGGUUCUCUGGCUGCAGGGAUUGGAAGUGGCCGCCAGCGCCAGCUGCUGUAUCCUGAAAUCUAUUACUGAGUUUGCACUAAGAAUGCACUUCCUACGAGCUGCUGCCUGCCAGUGACUGAGCGUGGCGGGGAUCCUGGCAGGCCGUCCUCAGGAGAUUGCCGAUGGCUUGAGGACUUCUCACCUGCCUUGCCGAGCCUCAUUAGACCUGCCCUGCAGUCUAAGUCUCCUCCGCCCACCUCUCCUUCCUUCUCUCUUUCACAAGGUCACACCCGCACCAUGGUCUCCUGGCUCUCCCAGGCUCCCCUGCUUCCCUUCCAUUACAAUUUGAGAAGCACUGAUUUAGAUGAUUUUGUGUUUAAAUCCUUUAAAUCUCAGUUUGGAACCUGAGUCUUUGCAAAGGUAAACAGUUGGAAUCACAAAACCAUCUGGGUCCUUCAUUUUGUAGGUCAAAGCCCAGCAAAGUUAAGGCACUAGUUCAAAGUCACAUGGCGAACUAGAAUAGAGCCAGCACCCAGGGGUCUUACCCGCCAGCUCUUCCCACUGUAGGCUCUUCUGUGAGCAGGCUGCUUGCUCUAAAUGUGCAUUGUCUACUGUGGUAGCACCGGAAAUGUGGCUAGUUGUGGUGUAAUAAAAAAACACUUGGUCUUUGUCCUGGGUUCCUGGCCUGGAGUCCCUCAAACCCUUAGAAUCUCCUGGGUGAUGGCGUGUCUCUCGUUAUUCACAAGGAGCGCCUCUGACCACACCUGUGUUUAUGCGAACGAAGUGACUCACGGUGGGGCCCUAGAUAGCUUCAGGAUGGGCGCUGGUCAUUGGAAAGACCAAACAUGUGCAUGGAGGGUGGGAACUUGCAGCUUCAGGGGAGGCGGUGGGGGCUGGAGAAUGAGUUAUAAAAACUCUUGAACAAGAUUCAAAGAGCCCCCGGUUGGUGACCACAUUGAGACGCCGGGAGGGUGGAGGCCCCGGGAGGCAUGGAAGGUCUGCCCUCCCCCUUCUCCCACAGCCCUACGCCUCCUUCCCACGUGGCUGCUGCGGAGUGGUACCUUCAAAAUAAACUGAUAAACAAGUAAAGUGUUCUCUUGAGUUCUGUGAGCUCUUCUAAUCAUUGAACCUGAGGAGGGGGUUAUGGGAACCUCCCAAUUUAUAGCUGGUCAGUCGUAAGUAUAGGUGACCCCUGGGACUUGCACCUGGCAUCUAAAGUGGGGGCAGUCUUGUGGGAUGGAGUCCUAAACUGUGGAGCCAGCACUAACUCUGGGGAGUUCGCAUCAGAAUUGAAUGAAAUUGUUGGAUGCGCAGUUGGUGCUGGAGAAUUGGUGUGGAAAAAUGACAUGCAUUUGCUAUGAGAAGUGGUGUCAGGAAAAAGAUGACACACUAGUCCAAACAGAGAUGUGCUGUAAGUGUAAAACACACCCUGGAUUUUGAGGACUCGGUAUGAACAAAGAUUAUAAAAUAUUUCAUUAAUAAUUUUUUGUAUUGAUUUCAUGUUGAAAUAAUAAUUUUGAUGUAUUGGGUUAUAUAAAAUAUAUUAUUAAAAAUAAGAUAAAAUAUGUAAUUAAAAUGAACUUCAGGG